GGCGGCUCUCUCUAUACUGACUGCCAGGUGUGAAGGGCGGAGCUUAUAACAAUGAUUGACAGGGAGCUAAGAUGGAGGCGGCUCUCUCUAUACUGACUGCCAGGUGUAAAGGGCGGAGCUUAUAACAAUGAUUGACAGGGAGCUAAGAUGGAGGCGGCUCUCUCUAUACUGACUGCCAGGUGUAAAGGGUGGAGCUUAUAACAAUGAUUGACAGGGAGCUAAGAUGGAGGCUGCUCUCUCUAUACUGACUGCCAGGUGUAAAG